rnacentral:tRNA from 1 species
GGCGAGGUAGCUCAGUUGGUUAGAGCGGCGGAUUCAUAACCCGCAGGUGACGAGUUCGAUUCUCGUCCUCGCUACCA